CCUACGGGUGGCAGCAGUCGGGAAUAUUGGACAAUGGGGGAAACCCUGAUCCAGCCAUGCCGCGUGUGUGAAGAAGGCUCUAGGGUUGUAAAGCACUUUUAGUAGUGAGGAAGGCUCAGUAGUUAAUACCUACUGGGAUUGACGUUAGCUACAGAAAAAGCACCGGCUAAUUUCGUGCCAGCAGCCGCGGUAAUACGAAAGGUGCAAGCGUUAAUCGGAAUUACUGGGCGUAAAGCGCGCGUAGGCGGCUUGAUAAGUUGGAUGUGAAAGCCCCGGGCUCAACCUGGGAACUGCAUCCAAAACUGUCAGGCUAGAGUAUGGUAGAGGAUGGCGGAAUUUCCUGUGUAGCGGUGAAAUGCGUAGAUAUAGGAAGGAACAUCAGUGGCGAAGGCGGCCAUCUGGACCAAUACUGACGCUGAGGUGCGAAAGCGUGGGGAGCAAACAGGAUUAGAUACCCGAGUAGUC
rnacentral:rRNA from 1 species